AGUGCUGAUUGGUGCAUUUACAAUCCUUCAGCUAGACAGAAGAGUUCUCCAACUCCCUACCUGACCCGGAAGCCCAGCCCGCUUCACCUGUCACUAGCAUCAUGCUUCCUAUACAGCCUGCAGAACUGUGAGCCAGAAUGGCUAACAGAGGAGAUUUUAAAUGUUCUCACUGCAAAGAAAUGAUGCACAAUUGAGGGUUUUCCAGAGGGAAGAAAAACAGUCGGAUGCCAGUAGAUAUCUAAGAAGAUACUUAUUAUGGGAAGUGACACAUAUGAGAAUUGGGAAGUCCCAGGAUAUGCCAUUGGCAAGCUGGAGAAGCAGGGAAGCCAGUGGCAUAAUUCCACCUGAGUCUGAAGGCAUGAGAAAUUUGGAGGAAGGGGAUGCUGGUCUAAAACCUGGAGACAGAAGGCCUGAGAAGCACACGCAUAGGUGUCUGAAUGCAGUAGAUCGAUGUCUGAGCUCAAGAAGAGAGAAAGAUAAUUCAUCCUUCCUCUGCUUUUUUGUUCUAUUCCGACCCUCAGUGGACUGGAUGAUGGCUGUUCACGUUGGUGAGGGCAGAUCUUCUUUACUCAGUCUACAGAUUUAA
rnacentral:lncRNA from 1 species